UGGGGAAUUUUGGACAAUGGGGGAAACCCUGAUCCAGCCAUCCCGCGUGUGCGAUGAAGGCCUUCGGGUUGUAAAGCACUUUUGGCAGGAAAGAAACGUCAUGGGUUAAUACCCCGUGAAACUGACGGUACCUGCAGAAUAAGCACCGGCUAACUACGUGCCAGCAGCCGCGGUAAUACGUAGGGUGCAAGCGUUAAUCGGAAUUACUGGGCGUAAAGCGUGCGCAGGCGGUUCGGAAAGAAAGAUGUGAAAUCCCAGAGCUCAACUUUGGAACUGCAUUUUUAACUACCGGGCUAGAGUGUGUCAGAGGGAGGUGGAAUUCCGCGUGUAGCAGUGAAAUGCGUAGAUAUGCGGAGGAACACCGAUGGCGAAGGCAGCCUCCUGGGAUAACAGUGACGCUCAUGCACGAAAGCGUGGGGAGCAAACAGG
rnacentral:rRNA from 1 species